AUUGAACGCUGGCGGCAGGCCUAACACAUGCAAGUCGAACGCGUUGCGGACGGGUGAGUAAUGUCUGGGAAACUGCCUGAUGGCGGGGGAUACCUACUGGAAACGGUAGCUAAUACCGCAUACCAUCGGAUGUUCCCAGGUGGGAUUAGCUAGUAGGUGGGGUAACGGCUCACCUAGGCGACGAUCCCUAGCUGGUCUGAGAGGAUGACCAGCGACACUGGAACUGAGAAACGGUCCAGACUCCGACGUGAGGCAGCAGUGGGGAAUAUUGCACAAGGGGCGCAAGCCUGAUGCAGCCAGGCCGCGUGUGUGAAGAAGGCCUUCGGGUUGUAAAGCACUAUCAGCGGGGAGGCGUUACCCGCAGAAGAAGCACCGGCUAACUCCGUGCCAGCAGACGCGGUAAUGC
rnacentral:rRNA from 1 species